UACGGAGGGGGUUAGCGUUGUUCGGAAUGACUGGGCGUAAAGCGCGCGUAGGCGGACAUUUAAGUCAGGGGUGAAAUCCCAGAGCUCAACUCUGGAACUGCCUUUGAUACUGGGUGUCUUGAGUAUGGAAGAGGUGAGUGGAAUUCCGAGUGUAGAGGUGAAAUUCGUAGAUAUUCGGAGGAACACCAGUGGCGAAGGCGGCUCACUGGUCCAUUACUGACGCUGAGGUGCGAAAGCGUGGGGAGCAAACAGG
rnacentral:rRNA from 1 species